rnacentral:rRNA from 1 species
GCAAGUCGAGCGAGCUUGCCUAGAUGAUUUUAGUGCUUGCACUAAAUGAAACUAGAUACAAGCGAGCGGCGGACGGGUGAGUAACACGUGGGUAACCUGCCCAAGAGACUGGGAUAACACCUGGAAACAGAUGCUAAUACCGGAUAACAACACUAGACGCAUGUCUAGAGUUUGAAAGAUGGUUCUGCUAUCACUCUUGGAUGGACCUGCGGUGCAUUAGCUAGUUGGUAAGGUAACGGCUUACCAAGGCAAUGAUGCAUAGCCGAGUUGAGAGACUGAUCGGCCACAUUGGGACUGAGACACGGCCCAAACUCCUACGGGAGGCAGCAGUAGGGAAUCUUCCACAAUGGACGAAAGUCUGACGGAGCAACGCCGCGUGAGUGAUGAAGGGUUUCGGCUCGUAAAACUCUGUUGUUAAGGAAGAACACUUGAGGUAGUAACUGGCCUUGAGAUGACGGUACUUAACCAGAAAGCCACGGCUAACUACGUG